GUGAGACUCCGUCUCAAAAAAAAAAAAAUGCUGUGGCAAGGGAGGCAAGAAAGAAUGUUUUAUCUGUAGCAUUUUGUGCUGAUAGAAAAGGCAGGGUCCAGUGGAAGAAGGAGGAAAUGGUACAUAAUUUCUUCAUAAAAAGAGUAAGGCCAGGGAGAAGUGACUGAGUAGACACCUGUAGCUAAACAGAGGUGGUGAUGAGUUUAUGGUGCCUCCAGCUUCUCAUGGCCCCACUUGGGAAAUUCCUCCAGUAACAUUACACUCACUCACUCCUUGACCAUCUACCUUUACUCCUCUCCUCAUUUCCCUGUUACCAAAACUAUGUGCCCUACCCAGGGACUUCUGGGCAGCUCUUUUCUCAGAUCAUUUCUCACCCUCUCUCCUCUACUAACUUAGCCUUUCAUACUGAAUCACAUUUUCCUUAAAAAACAGCUGCUGACAGAAGAUGCUACAUUUUGUUUCAGGGCCUGGUAACCAUCAAGGAUGUGUCACUGUGCUUCUCUCAGGAGGAGUGGCGGAGCCUGGACCCCUCUCAGACAGACUUUUAUGGAGAAUAUGUCAUGCAGGAAAACUGUGGGAUAGUAGUCUCUCUGAGUAAGCAUGACCUUCUCCAGCCACUAGAAGAUUGGACUCUGGGAGGACGGAGCCAUCUGCUUCAGGGCUAUUGGAUAGUGUCUGUCUAGGACUCUUUAUGUGGCAGGGAAUCUGUCUAUGCUUCCGCUGGAGAAAGAACACUAGGGCCAAUCCCAAGAGAAUGAGAGUAAAUAUCAUUAAAAAAAAAAAAGUAAAAAAGCAAAUGAUGCUUAAUUGUGGAGUAGAACUUGAGGUUCUUCUUGGUUGGGAAUUAGGAGGUUCUCAUAAAGCAGAGAGAACUGGAACUGGGUCCUUGUAAACUUGGGAACCAUGUAGAGGAAGAUAGGGAUGCAGGGAGUAGGACUGUCGUAGUAGGACUAAAGUGAAGUUACGCCCAGAAAGGCCAGCUGGGCUGGAAGUAUCUGAGUGGAAGAAAACAGGUUCAUUGGGAAGGAGAGUGAUUUUCUAGGCAGAGAAGAGGGAC
rnacentral:lncRNA from 10 species